rnacentral:rRNA from 1 species
AUGAACGCUAGCUACAGGCUUAACACAUGCAAGUCGAGGGGCAGCAUGGUCUUAGCUUGCUAAGGCCGAUGGCGACCGGCGCACGGGUGAGUAACACGUAUCCAACCUGCCGUCUACUCUUGGACAGCCUUCUGAAAGGAAGAUUAAUACAAGAUGGCAUCAUGAGUCCGCAUGUUCACAUGAUUAAAGGUAUUCCGGUAGACGAUGGGGAUGCGUUCCAUUAGAUAGUAGGCGGGGUAACGGCCCACCUAGUCUUCGAUGGAUAGGGGUUCUGAGAGGAAGGUCCCCCACAUUGGAACUGAGACACGGUCCAAACUCCUACGGGAGGCAGCAGUGAGGAAUAUUGGUCAAUGGGCGAGAGCCUGAACCAGCCAAGUAGCGUGAAGGAUGACUGCCCUAUGGGUUGUAAACUUCUUUUAUAAAGGAAUAAAGUCGGGUAUGGAUACCCGUUUGCAUGUACUUUAUGAAUAAGGAUCGGCUAACUCCGUGCCAGCAGCCGCGGUAAUACGGAGGAUCCGAGCGUUAUCCGGAUUUAUUGGGUUUAAAGGGAGCGUAGAUGGAUGUUUAAGUCAGUUGUGAAAGUUUGCGGCUCAACCGUAAAAUUGCAGUUGAUACUGGAUAUCUUGAGUGCAGUUGAGGCAGGCGGAAUUCGUGGUGUAGCGGUGAAAUGCUUAGAUAUCACGAAGAACUCCGAUUGCGAAGGCAGCCUGCUAAGCUGCAACUGACAUUGAGGCUCGAAAGUGUGGGUAUCAAACAGGAUUAGAUACCCUGGUAGUCCACACGGUAAACGAUGAAUACUCGCUGUUUGCGAUAUACUGCAAGCGGCCAAGCGAAAGCGUUAAGUAUUCCACCUGGGGAGUACGCCGGCAACGGUGAAACUCAAAGGAAUUGACGGGGGCCCGCACAAGCGGAGGAACAUGUGGUUUAAUUCGAUGAUACGCGAGGAACCUUACCCGGGCUUGAAAGUUACUGACGAUUCUGGAAACAGGAUUUCCCUUUGGGGCAGGAAACUAGGUGCUGCAUGGUUGUCGUCAGCUCGUGCCGUGAGGUGUCGGCUUAAGUGCCAUAACGAGCGCAACCCUUGUUGUCAGUUACUAACAGGUUCCGCUGAGGACUCUGACAAGACUGCCAUCGUAAGAUGUGAGGAAGGUGGGGAUGACGUCAAAUCAGCACGGCCCUUACGUCCGGGGCUACACACGUGUUACAAUGGGGGGUACAGAGGGCCGCUACCACGCGAGUGGAUGCCAAUCCCCAAAACCUCUCUCAGUUCGGACUGGAGUCUGCAACCCGACUCCACGAAGCUGGAUUCGCUAGUAAUCGCGCAUCAGCCACGGCGCGGUGAAUACGUUCCCGGGCCUUGUACACACCGCCCGUCAAGCCAUGGGAGCCGGGGGUACCUGAAGUGCGUAACCGCGAGGAGCGCCCUAGGGUAAAACUGGUGACUGGGGCU